ACCCCAUAGACUAUGGACGCUGGAAUGCCCUGUAGUCGAAAGGUCCGCCGCCGUAGGAUGGGUCUGCGGCCGAUUAGGUUGUUGUUGGGGUAACGGCCCAACAAGCCUGUAAUCGGUACGGGUUGUGGGAGCAAGAGCCCGGAGAUGGAUUCUGAGACACGAAUCCAGGCCCUACGGGGCGCAGCAGGCGCGAAAACUUUACAAUGCGGGAAACCGUGAUAAGGGAACUCCGAGUGCCCGUUAAAUCGGGCUGUCCAUCAGUUUAAAUAACUGGUGAAGAAAGGGCCGGGCAAGACCGGUGCCAGCCGCCGCGGUAAUACCGGCGGCUCGAGUGGUGGCCACUAUUACUGGGCUUAAAGCGUUCGUAGCUGGUUUGUUAAGUCUCUGGGGAAAUCUUCCGGCUUAACCGGAAGGCGUCUCAGGGAUACUGGCAGACUAGGGACCGGGAGAGGUGAGGGGUACUCCAGGGGUAGGAGUGAAAUCCUGUAAUCCUUGGGGGACCACCUGUGGCGAAGGCGCCUCACCAGAACGGCUCCGACAGUGAGGGACGAAAGCUGGGGGAGCAAACCGGAUUAGAUACCCGGGUAGUCCCAGCUGUAAACGAUGCGCGUUAGGUCUAUCAGCGACCACGAGUCGCUGAGGUGCCGAAGAGAAAUCGUGAAACGUGCCGCC
rnacentral:rRNA from 1 species